AUGGUGGCCACCUUAUUCCAACCCAGAUCAACCCAAAAUCAAAACAACAACAACAACAAAAAUAAGCUAAGUUCUUGGGUGUUACCUCUCUUUGCUAUGAACUUUGAGUCUUUGUUCUGGUUUCCUCGUUUAUCUCUUUCUGGGCUCAUUUUCCUUUCUGAUUCGCAGGUACAGUGGCUUGGUGGCGCAAGAGUCAACAUAUCUAGGGUUUUAGAAUUGAAACCCAUAUCUCAAGUAGAAGAGGCGUUGAUUUGGAAGUUCAAGCCACAAAUUUUAUAG